rnacentral:rRNA from 1 species
UCCAGCAGCCAUAUCACUCUUCUGCUCACAGCUGGCAGCCCCCUGGAGCUCCGCAGGUGUGAGCCUGGUCAUUACCUGGUUGGGAGACCUCCUGGGAAAAACUAAGGUUGCUGCUGGAA